rnacentral:sRNA from 1 species
UAUUUACUCAAUUGGUCCACCACUAAAAGAUGGAAUUGAACCCCUCCGAUUUUGGAAGCCCUUCCACAAAAUCCAUGGAAAUAUCUUCCCAAACUUGGUCUGGAAUUGGCAACGGCUGGAGCAACCCAGCAGGUGCGAGUGUAGAGUACUUAUGUUGUUGAUAGAUCGCAUAGGCAACUACAUAAGCCUGAAUGUCCUUCCUCAUUCCUUUCCAAAAGAAAGUUUCUGCCACCCUUUUAUAAGUUUUUAAUAAACCUCCAUGCCCUUCGUGUAAGGCCGACUGCACAAGCGGUGAUUUCCUUGGCAGCACCAGCCGAUCAUGGUACAGUAAGUGGCCUCGUACUAAAGAAUAACUAGGAGCAGCAGCUUGCCCAUUCUGCAAGGAGGUAACCAAAGUGCCUAAUUCCUCGUCAUCACUCAUAGCUUUUUUGACUAUGUCCAAUUCCAUGGUGUGGGAUACACUCGUGGCCAUGAUAGUUGCAGUUGCAUCCACCUUUGAUAGUGCAUCCACAGCCUUGUUCUCCAUUCCCGCUUUAUAUUCAAUAUCAAAAUCGAACCCCAAGAGCUUGGUAAGCCAUUUUUGAUAUUCUUAAUUCACUUCACGUUGUUCCAAUAAGAAUUUAAGGCUACGUUGGUCAGUUCGAACGAUGAAUCUGCGUCCCAACAGGUAGUGCUUCCACUUUUGAAUUGCCAUGACAAUGGCAAUAAGUUCUCGUUCAUAAAUUGAUUUGCUCUGAGCCCUCUGGGGAAGCACUUGACUGAAAUAUGCAAUCGGUCGACGGUCUUGCAUAAGGAUUGCCCUAUCCUAUAUCCGGAGGCAUCGGUUUCCACAAUAAAUGGUCGUGUGAAGUUAGGCAGUCCCAACAUCGGUACAGUUAUCAUGGCAGUUUUCAAUUUCAGAAAGGCUACCUCUGCCUUCUCAUUCCACCCAAAGCUGUCAUUCUUCAAUUAUUUUGUAAACGGUCAUGCUAUG